ACAAUGGGCAGAGUGGGUGGGCUCUCUGAUUGACGUCUCUCACAGUCAAUCCAAAUAUUUCUGGACCAACAUUGAGUUUCCUGAAACCUGGGAAACUGACCGGGGAAAUGGAGACGGAAGGGACCAUAUCAAAUGUUACUGACAACCCGAACUGCAGUUAAAUUGGAAGGAUGCGACCAACUGUAAAAUGCAUAACCCCACCAACUCGGCAACUACUAAAACAAUGAUGAGAACGCUGUGGAUGCAAUUCCAAAACCUCCUCAGCUUGCAAACGAGAUGUAGGCCUUGUGAUGAUCGUGCCAAAAGUACCCGUCAGAUAUGUAAUGAUGACACAAUACAAUGUGUAUCGCACUCUAACAUGUUUUUAGUUGGAAUGUGCAAAGGAUGGGUCAGGGUCUGGGGAGAGUUAACCAUCCGCAGUCAGAGGUCAAAAAAGAGUAUCAGAUACUUUGUAAUGUUGGUUCUUCUAAGUUCAGCUUCCGCUGUCAGGUGGUUUUCCAGUAUUCCCUUGCAGAGCUCCUCAGGGACGUGAGGGGUGAUCACGACCCGGAUGGACUCCAUCGCAGGGGAAAAUAUGAAAACUAAAAGGGUUUUCUGUGAAAGGAGGGGUCAGGUUGCGGGCAUGUAUCAUACAGAGAUGUGAUCUGAAUUGCUUCUGAUCCCUUAUCAAGAUUACUGACAAUUCUCGUAUAACACACCGGGCUUGCCAAACAGGGUCAGGGAGGCAGAGUGUAUUUUUCCCUUGGGCAGAACCCCUUGCACUGGUGCCUAGAGUCUCAGGUUGGGCUUUUAGAGAAACUUCGGGUGCCAGAGAUAUUGCUCAGAAAAACAGCUUUCCCUUUGUAACGGGAACAAAGCGACAAGACGAUCAAUACACCACAAUAUUUUUUUGUAUCUGGCCUAUCAAAGCGCUCGUUUGGCGGGAAAAGAAACUGCCUAUUGGAUGCCCUUAUGCCGAACCAUUCAGAGGGGGGUAUCCCCUUGUGGCCUGAAGUUGCCAAAUGGCUAAUACGCCAAAACUUUUCAGGUGAACCCGAUGAGGACAUGCAGGAGUGGAAGUCAGCAUAGUAUCAUCUGGCCUGAUUUUGAGAUUAGUACCAACCCAACUAUAACAGAUCCCAAAUGCCCCCUUUCUUUGUAGUCUUUAAUAACAUUGUUAGCAAUACCAUUUGCUUCACACAAGACGGGAACAUCUCUACUGACACUUCUGUGGGAUCUAGUCAAUGUUCUUUUGUUAUCCUCUGGACUGAACCAAUCCAAAAUUUGACGAGCUGAGGUCACCUUUAGUUUAAUUGGACUGGUGUCCUUAAUAAGACUCACUGUGGAAAGACCAUGGUUCCCAAGUUAUGGAGGGGCAGAGAUCACAACAUAACCUCUUCCAAGGGCACCUAUUUGAUUUGCUGUCUUCAGACUCUCUCCUCUGGCUUCCCUCAAAUCGAUGAGUGUCAUGGUGUAUGGGAUAUGUAGUACCUUGCAGCAGAGUUUUGGAUGGGUUACUUUCACCCCAAAACCCAAGAGAUCCCUCACUUGGGUAGGGAUGUCUUCCCCUCCUAUCGGAAUCUAUCUGCAUUCCCAAGAAUUGGGCAAAUUAAAAACCGUAUUGGAAAUUGUGGCCAAUGAUACCGCUGAAGUCCUGAUUGAGAUCAAUGCUGAGCUAGUUGCAGUUAGAACAGUGGCCCUUCAGAAUUGCUUGGCCUUGGAUUUUCUGUUAUCCAAGGAGGGUGGCAUUUGUGCUGUUGUUGUUUGGGAAUGCUGUACCUACAUAUGUGACAAUUCUAAAAUUUUGAUUUGGUGACUCACAUUCACAUGGAUGUCAAGAAAUUGAGCUCCCUUUUUGAUUCCGGGUGGUCUUUUGAUGUUGCCUGGCUGGGUAAGUGGGGAUCCUCCUUAGUCAUUGGGCUCGUCACCUUUACUAUCAUAAUCUUGAUACUUUGUAUCA